CGAGUCGGCUGGGCGGUCGCGUCGGUGCCUCUUCGGGGGUGCCGCCGAGGAACGUCCGGGCUCCACAGGGCAGGGUGGUUGUUAACGGCAACCCGGGGUGACCCGCGGGACAGUGCCACAGAAAACAGACCGCCGGGCGUUUACGUCCGGUAAGGGUGAAACGGUGGUGUAAGAGACCACCAGCGCCCCGGGUGACCGGGGCGGCUCGGUAAACCCCACCCGGAGCAAGGUCAAGAGGAGUGGCUCAGGUCGCUCUGCGUGGACGAUCGAGGGCGGCCCGCCCGAUGUUCACGGGUAGACCGCUAGAGCCUGUCGGUGACGGCAGGUUGAGAUGGAUGGCCGCCGGUCGGAGCUUCGGUUCCGGCCACAGAACCCGGCGUACAGGCCGACUCGUCCG
rnacentral:RNase_P_RNA from 1 species